rnacentral:rRNA from 1 species
UUAAAUUGAAGAGUUUGAUCAUGGCUCAGAUUGAACGCUGGCGGCAGGCCUAACACAUGCAAGUCGAACGGUAACAGAAAGCAGCUUGCUGCUUUGCUGACGAGUGGCGGACGGGGGAGUAAUGUCUGGGAAACUGCCUGAUGGAGGGGGAUAACUACUGGAAACGGUAGCUAAUACCGCAUAACGUCGCAAGACCAAAGAGGGGGACCUUCGGGCCUCUUGCCAUCGGAUGUGCCCAGAUGGGAUUAGCUUGUUGGUGGGGUAACGGCUCACCAAGGCGACGAUCCCUAGCUGGUCUGAGAGGAUGACCAGCCACACUGGAACUGAGACACGGUCCAGACUCCUACGGGAGGCAGCAGUGGGGAAUAUUGCACAAUGGGCGCAAGCCUGAUGCAGCCAUGCCGCGUGUAUGAAGAAGGCCUUCGGGUUGUAAAGUACUUUCAGCGGGGAGGAAGGGAGUAA